CUGAGGAAUUGCACUUGAGUGAAGUGACCUGAGACUGGGAACACUGUGGACUCCAGCCCCAGGGCCUCCUCCCAUGGGCAACCAGCUGCUUUUCAGGCUCCUCUGAGACAAACAGCAGGUGUCCUGGAGCCCACACUGCUGUGGUUCUCCUCUGAGCACCAGGCAACAGGUGAAUGCUUAGCUCUGGAGACCCAGGCAGAGCAUUCGCACACCUGGGUAGCAGGGCUGGCGUGGAGCCUUACUCCCCUGAGAGCCCCACACUGGAAUACAGGUGUAACAGGAAGGGAAUAGCCUUUCUAACCUUUGUUAAAAACAUCACUGACGUCGUGCAGCUCCAACCACCAUGCUAUGCCCGGAGUAUUUCACAGGAGUAAAUCAUAAUCAUUGGCUUCCUACAAACUUUAGGGAAAGACAGAUCAUGAACAGUUGUGCUGGCUGGUUUUGUGUCAACUUGACAGGAGCUAGAGUCAUUGGAGAAGAGAGAACCUCAGUUGAGAAAAUAUCUCAAUAAGAUCCAGCUGUAGGGCACUUUCUUAAUUAGCGAUUGAAGGGGGAGAGCCCAACCCAUUGUGGGUGGGGCUACCCCUUGGGAUGGCGGUCCUGGAUUCCAUCAGAAAGCAGGCUGAGCCAGUCACGAGGAGCAAGUCAGUAAGUAGCACCCUUCUAUGGCCUUUGCACCAGCUUCUGCCUCCAAGCUCCAUCCUGUUUGAGUUCCUGUCCUGACUUCCCUCAGUGAUGGACCAUGAUGUGGAAGUGAUAACCACUUCCUCCCCACAGUGUUUCUUCAUAGCCAUAGCAACCCUAAGAAAAACAGUAACGUGGAUGAGACAACACUCUUAAGAAAACUGUGCCAUGACUACCACCUGGAUUCUUAGCCAGCACAUGAAAGAAAGACUGAGUCAAGAAGACUGAAGAACAGGAUGUGGUGAAUUUUGCCUUUAAUAAGUCACAGGUAGAUGGCACUAUUCUACCACACCAGAUGCCUGGCUUUGCCUGGCUGGCCAGGCUCACCAAGCGAUCAGCCCUAUGACUAUGAGGAAGCAGAGGGCCACACCCGGUUCCAUGAUGCUGCAAGCUGUGGACUGUCACUGAGGCUGUGGUCACGGCUCAUUUGAAGACCCUCACCAGGAGGAUGGUUGGAUCCAGAAGCCAGAAGGGGGCAGAGAGGAGGGCAGGAUGGUGGAUUGUCCAGGCUGCAACCAACAAACAAUGUGUACCAAAAAGAUGCAGAAAGUCGGAUAGGAUUUCCAGCCUGGCCUGAACUCCCCUGAGCGGCAUCCCGCAGAGCACAUCUUCCUCUGGACCUUGGAGACUCCCCAAACCAUAUCUCUACCCUGUCUCUAUAAUGGUCCCCAUCCUACAGUAACCAGCAGUUUCUGGGUGGUUCACAAAAAAAGUCUCUCCAGGUCUUUAAGGAAACCCUAACUCUUCCCUGGGCUGAGGGGUGAGGGUGGGGCAGAGUCCCUGCAUAGCUAAGGUGUCACCUGUGGGUGCUGGGUUAGCCCAGCUCCAGCCUCAGGGAAGGAGGGAGGAGAUUCUUCCCUGAGAGUCUCUGGGCCCCACAAUCGCUGAGUAAAGGUUUGAUAUAUUGAGCAAGUGUCAGCAGAGACAGGCCAAAGAGCCCCAGGCAGGACUGGGGCUGUUCCCUAGGACCCAUGCAGAGCCGAUAACCAUGACCAAGGGGAAAAUCAAUCUGCUGAAAUGUGGCUUCUCGGAGACUGUCUGGCAGGAGGGAUGGUGAAACGCCGUGGCCCAAACCAACACCCAGACCUAUUUAAAGCUUUAAUGUUACAAAAGGUCUAGGGGGCGAUGAGGAAAGGACGAAUAAAUAAUUCAGAAAGCGGAAGGAGAGACAUUGCCAGUACCGACAGACCACAGACCGAGGUUCGUGCUGGCUGAACUUGCAGCUGCACCCAACCUUCUGGAAGAGGGUGCAAGCCAGGACAGGGGCUGGCUGACUUUGCUUCUCAAAAUGCUUCUUUUUUUUUCUUUUUUUAUAUUUUUCGGAGCUGGGGACUGAACCCAGGGCCUUGCGUUUGCUAGGCAAGCGCUCUACCACUGAGCUAAAUACCCAACCCUCAAAAUGCUUCUUACAAGCCUUCCCUCUCACCUCCUCCUCCCUUCCAGGGCCCUGUGAGAGGAGGUGUUUCAGUCUGGCCAUGCUGGCCUGGAGCUCAGGGCCCCUGACCACAAGCCAACCAGAAAACCUCACCUCUACAUAGCCUUGUUCAUGCCUCAGACUCCUCUUACUUCUCCCCUACACCCUUGUGGGAUCCAGUGAGAGAAACAAGACAUUGCUGCAUCCGGAGUAUCCAAAAAAAAAAAAAAAAAGAAAGAAAGAAAGAAAAAAGACCUGGUUUUUUUUUUUUUUUUUUUUUUUUUUUUUUUUUUUUGUUGUUGUUGUUGUGUUUGCGUUUAGUUGUUUUUUUUUCUUUUUUUCUUUUUCUUUUUUUCGGAGCUGGGGACCGAACCCAGGGCCUUGCACUUGCUAGGCAAGCGCUCUACCACUGAGCUAAAUCCCCAACCCGCGUUUAGUUUGUUUUUAUGUGUGAUGUGUAUGUGAUCGUAUGACUGUGUGGUAUUUUUUAUGUACGAGUGUGUGAAUGGGGGUAUGUGUGAGUGUGUGUGUACACACAGAUGCCACAGCCCACUUACAGAGAUCAGAGGACAAUCUCCAACACCAGUUCUUGCCUUCUUUGUUUGAAACAGGGUGUCUGUUGUCCCCACUGGGUAUGCCAGUCUCUUCAGCCCUCAAGCUUCUGAGGAUUCAUCUCUCUCUUCUCAUCUCACCAUUGGAGCACUAGAAUUUCAGAAUCACACAACUGCAUCCAGUUUUUUAACCUGGGUAUUGGGGAUUUGAACUUGGACCAUCACGUUUGCACAGCAAGUAUACUAUCCACUGAGCCAAGACCUGGCUAACUUUAUACAGCUGUGUGAUCCUGGGAAAGUUUUAUACCCUCUCUGGUCCUUCAAAGGCUUCACUUUUCCUUAAGACAUAGAAGUGGGCAUCACUAGCUGGAUUGAGUUGGGUACAAUGGCACAUUCCCAUAAUGCCAGCUCUUGGAAGGUAGAGGCCAGAGGAUCAGGUGUUUAAAGUCAUCCUUGGGGGUUGGGGAUUUGGCUCAGUGGUAGAGCGCUUGCCUAGCAAGCGCAAGGCCCUGGGUUCGAUCCCCAGCUCCGGAAAAAAAAAAAAAUAAAGUCAUCCUUGGCUACUUAGUAAGUUCAAGUCCAACCUGGGUUAUACAUCCCCCCGCCUCCCCAAACACACACACACACACACACACACACACACACACACACACACACACACACACUCUGGUUUUGGUUUUACAAGACAGGUUUUCUCUGUGUAACUCUGGCUAUCCUGGAACUUGCCCUGUAGACCAGGAUGGCUUAGAGCUCAGAGAUCCACCUGCCUCUGCCUCCCAAGUGUUGGGACUAAAGGCAUGCGCCACAACCACCCUGUACCCUAUCUCUUAUAUACACAUGAAAUAAUAAAAAUUGAAAAAAUUAAACUU